AGUCAAGGACCAUAUCACCUCCACCCUACCUGACACCUGACUCCACUCCAAUUUCUUCCGCCGCACAAUGUCACGCACGAUAGCACAAUCUACCAACACUGCCAACUGCCCUAACCCAUCUCGGACAAGAGGAAUACCUAUGUGAGAACUGCGUUACUCGACAUCAGCGGCAUUCAACACCAUAGUACCCUCCAAGCUCGUCAUCAAGCUCGAGACCCUGGGUCUCGACCCCGCCCUGUGCAACUGGGUACUGGACUUCCUGACGGGCCGCCCCCAGGUGGGGAGGGUAGGCAACAACAUCUCCUCCCCGCUUUCCUCAACACUGGGGCCCCACAAGGGUGCGUUCUGAGCCCCCUCCUGUACUCCCUGUUCACCCACGACUGCGUGGCCAUGCACGCCUCCAACUCAAUCAUCAGUUUGCGGCGACACAACAGUGGUAGGCUUGAUUACCAACACGACGAGACGGCCUACAGGGAGAGGUGAGGGCCCUCGGGUGUGGUGUCAGGAAAAUAACCUCACACUCAACGUCAACAAAACUAAGGAGAUGUGUGGACUUCAGGAACAGCAGAGGGAACACCCCCCCAUCCACAUCGAUGGAACAGUAGUGGAGAGGGUAGCAAGUUUUAAGUUCCUCGGCUACACAUCACAGACAACUGAAUUGGUCCACUCACACAGACAGAUCGUGGGAAGGCGCAGCAGCGCCUCUUCAACCUCAGGAGGCUGAAGAAAUUCGGCUUGUCUCCAAAAGCACUCACAAACUUCUACACGAUGCACAAUCGAGAGCAUCCUGGCGGGCUGUAUCACCGCCUGGUAUGGCAACUGCACACCGCCCUCAACCGUAAGGCUCUCCAGAGGGUAGUGGGUCUGCACAACGCAUCACCGGGGGCAAACUCCUGCCCCCUCCGGACACCUACACCACCCGAUGCUACAGGAGGCCAUAAAGAUCAUCAAGGACAUCAACCACCCGACCACUGCCUGUUUACCCCGCUGUCAUCCAGAAGCGAGGUCGUACAGGUGCAUCAAAGCUGGGACCGAGAGACUGAAAAACAGCUUCUAUCUCAAGGCCAUCAGACUGUUAAACAGCCACCACUAACAUUGAGUGGCUACAUGCCAACACACUGUCAAUGACACUGACUCUACUCCAGCCACUUUAAUCAUGGGAAUUGAUGGGAAUAUGUAAAUAUAUCACUAGCCACUUUAAACAAUGCUACCUUAUAUAAUGUUACUUACCCUACAUUGUUCAUCUCAUAUGCAACGUUGAUACUGUACUCUAUAUCAUCGACUGCAUCCUUAUGUAAUACAUGUAUCACUAGCCACUUUAACUAUGCCACUUGGUUUACAUACUUAUUCAUAUGUUAUACUGUACUCGAUAUCAUCUACUGUAUCUUGCCUAUGCUGCUCUGUACCAUCACUCAUUCAUAUAUCCUUAUGUACAUAUUCUUUAUCCCUCCUACAAUGUGUAUAAGACAGUAGUUUUUUUUUUUUGGAAUUGUUAGUUAGAUUACUUGCUCGUUAUUACUGCAUUGUCGGAACUAGAAGCACAAGCAUUUCGCUACACUCGCAUUAACAUCUGCUAACCAUGUGUAUGUGACAAAUAAAAUUUGAUUUGAUUUGAUUUGAUUUGAUUUGAUUUGCCUGCACCCCUAAAUUCAACCUGAAGCCUAUAUGGGUUAUGAAUGCCGUAUGAACCUGUCUUCGGUAACAGUCCAUCAGGCCACUAUGAGGUCUACCUGUGUUGAUUCUAAGCUUCCUUGAGCAACCGGAAGUGGUUAAAAUCACCCUAAAAGUGCCGGGCCCUUCUCGCGGAUCUCCCCAGCUACGGUGCUCGUUGGCCUCAUUUACGCAGGGUCUCCGGCGGGUUGCCUCGGCCGGCGCCUAGCAGCUGACUUAGAACUAGUGCGGACCAGGGGAAUCCGACUGUUUAAUUAAAACAAAGCAUCGCGAAGGCCCAAGGUGGGUGAUGACGCGAUGUGAUUUCUGCCCAGUGUUCGACUUCAGCCCCGGACUCUAGGGGUUACUACGAACUCUGUAUGAGGAACGGUCGAAGAGAGGGCGCUACCCAAGUCGAAGUACAUCCCUUUGGGUUGGGAUUAGACUAGAGUAAGAGAACAAAUGUUAAGAGGUGGAACCGCAUAUCGCUAAAUGGGGCGGGGGAGGAAAGUGGAGAAAAGUCGAAGAAGGCUUUAGAUGAWGGGCUCUCCCAACUCCUACCCUGUGUGACACCCGUAAAAAGGUGACCCCAAUAGCAGAAUAGAUAGAUGGAAGAAGGCCAAUGGAGUCUGAAUGAGCCUUCCCAACCAUACAUUGAAAUAGCGUGCAAAAGUUGCGAGUCUCCCUCCAGUGGUUGGAGGAAUCGCUCCUGGCGGGUUAGUGCGAGGAGGUAAGGGAGGGGCCCUCUAGUAGGGCCUCUCCUGCGUGCUGUGCUGGGACCUAACUAUGGGGGUUGAGUGGGAUUCGGCCUACCUAGAGUAAAAAUACAUAGAGAUGGGCGUCAGUGGUG
rnacentral:rRNA from 1 species